rnacentral:rRNA from 1 species
AGCUCCAAUAGCGUAUAUUAUUUAUGUUGCAGUUGAAACGUUCGUAGUCGAACUUUGUGUGCUUAGGUAUUAUAGCGACUAUGUCGUCGUAGUAUUUUCAGUACAUUUAGUGCAACAAAGGUCGUAUGUUUCAUAUGAAUCUUUUAUUGCAUUUUACUUUGAGUGAAUCGGCGUGUUCCACGCAGGCAUAUGCCUUGAACGAUUUACCAUAGCAUAAGUAAGUAUGGAAUUGUUCUAUUGUUUGUUCACGGACAUUUCUGAUACUGAUAAGAACGGUUGAGGGCAUUCGUAUUCAACUGCCAGAGGUGAAAUUCUUUGAUUAGUUGAGGACGCACUACGGCGAAAGCAUCUGCCAAGGACGUUUCUG